rnacentral:lncRNA from 1 species
UAGCUAAAUGAUCUGAUUCUCCACAGACAUAACAAUUUAAUUUAUUAGGAUAAUUUCUUUCUGGUUUAAAUUUCCUAACAUGUCUAUUUUCAUCUAAAUAAGGCUUUCUUCUAUUAGAUUUUCUAAGAUAAUAUCUUUUCUUAUAAGAUUGAUAAUUUUUCUUAUUAUCAUAUUUUCUUUUAUUCUUUUCUUUAAACUUAUUUCCAUAAGUCUGAGGUGUAUAAAUAUCUUUACAAAAUUUAUAAUCUGUCUUUUUAAGUUGAUUCUGUAUUUGUAAUUCAAUACAUUUUUCUUCUAAACAUUGCAUUAUAAAUUGUGUUCUAAUUCCUAUACUCCAUAAUGAAUCUGGUCUUUCUUUAACAUUUUUAUUUUCAUUCCAUUUCUUUGUUAUUUCUAAUCCUAAAGGUCCUGGUAAUUUAUGAAAUAGUUUUUUCCCUAAUUCUUGAUUAAAAGUAUUUCCUGAAAUAGAUACUA